rnacentral:ribozyme from 1 species
AUGGAACUGCAGCAACAACCUCUGCUACAGCUACUACGAAAGCAACAACAAUGGAUUCAGAUGGCGUUGGUGUUGUUGGAGUAUCAUCUGCCUUUCCGUCGUUAGUGGCAGGCAUUGGUGGUGGUGCUAG